UACGUAGGGUGCAAGCGUUGUCCGGAUUUAUUGGGCGUAAAGAGCGUGUAGGCGGCCAGGUAGGUCUGCUGUGAAAACUCGAGGCUCAACCUCGAGAUGUCGGCGGAAACCAUCUGGCUAGAGUCCGGAAGAGGAGAGUGGAAUUCCUGGUGUAGCGGUGAAAUGCGCAGAUAUCAGGAAGAACACCCGUGGCGAAGGCGGCUCUCUGGGACGGUACUGACGCUGAGACGCGAAAGCGUGGGAGCGAACAGG
rnacentral:rRNA from 1 species